rnacentral:misc_RNA from 1 species
AGCAGCCGCGGUAAUUCCAGCUCCAAUAGCGUAUAUUAAAGUUGUUGCAGUUAAAAAGCUCGUAGUUGAAUUUUGGAUUCUGCCAAUUGGUCCAUCUUUUAGAUGAGUACUGGUUGUGUGGGGUCUAUCCGCCUGGUGAUACGUAAUGUCCUUUAUUGGAUGUUGCGGGUAGUCAGGACCUUUACCUUGAAAAAAUUAGAGUGUUUAAAGCAGGCUUAUGCCGGAAUACAUUAGCAUGGAAUAAUAGAAUAGGACGAAGUUGUUUUAUUUUGUUGGUUUCUAGGACAACCGUAAUGAUUAAUAGGGAUAGUUGGGGGCAUUAGUAUUCAAUUGUCAGAGGUGAAAUUCUUGGAUUUAUUGAAGACUAACUACUGCGAAAGCAUUUGCCAAGGAUGUUUUCACUAAUCAAGAACGAAAGUUAGGGGAUCGAAGACGAUCAGAUACCGUCGUAGUCUUAACCAUAAACUAUGCCGACUAGGGAUCGGGCGAUGUUGUUUCCAUGACUCGCUCGGCACCUUAU